ensembl:lncRNA
CAUGUGUGUCUGUGUGCAUGUGUGUAUAAAGAAGUGGUGAUCAGACGUUGCUGAUAAGAGAAGCCAGUGGUGCUUCUGGGUGAUGUGUGUAUUCAACUCCAGGCUGACUCCUCUUAUGCUAAUACAGCCAAUUUCCUCUUUUAUUUCAUUUCUGGAGCCUGAAUCUGUGAUCUCUGAUAAGGUUCCCAAGGAUACCGCCUUCACUCACAAAUGGGGUAUUUGUCUACUUGACAUGGGGUAUACUGUCAAGCAGGAGGUUCUCUCAUCUCCCAGAACAGCAGCCUCCUGUUCCCAUGUGACUGGGAUCACUUACAUGAUGGGAAACACAUCAUAGUCAACUGUCACAUCCAGCACCUUCUUGAUCAAGUUGUAACUUCUAAUUUUCACAUUGUAUGCUAUUCCCUUUAACUGAAUGUUUCCCACCCCAACAACGUAAAAAAAAAAAAAAAAGAAAAAAGAAAAAGAAAAUCCUGUUUAAAUUUAU